rnacentral:rRNA from 1 species
GAAACUAACAAGGAUUCCCCUAGUAACGGCGAGUGAAGCGGGAUGAGCUCAAAUUUAAAAUCUGGCGGUCUCAGAUCGUCCGAGUUGUAGUCUAGAGAAGCGUUUUCCGUGCUGGCCUGUGUACAAGUCCGUUGGAACACGGCGUCAUAGAGGGUGAGAAUCCCGUCCUUGACACAGAUCUCCAGUGCUUUGUGAUGCGCUCUCAAAGAGUCGAGUUGUUUGGGAAUGCAGCUCAAAAUGGGUGGUAAAUUCCAUCUAAAGCUAAAUAUUGGCGAGAAACCGAUAGCGAACAAGUACCGUGAGGGAAAGAUGAAAAGCACUUUGGAAAGAGAGUUAAACAGUACGUGAAAUUGUUGAAAGGGAAACGAUUGAAGUCAGUCAUGCUUUCCGAGACUCAGCCGGUUCUGCCGGUGUACUUCUCGGUUUGCAGGCCAGCAUCAGUUUUGGGCGGUGGAAAAGGUUGGCGGGAAUGUGGCAUCCUCGGAUGUGUUAUAGCCCGCUUUCGAAUACAUCGCCCGGGACUGAGGAACGCAGCACGCCUCUUGUAGGUCGGUCUUCGGACACGUCCGUGCUUAGGAUGCU